UAUUAGUUUGAUUCUGGCUAUUUUGUUAAUUGUAUUGAACAAAUACAUGUAUAAUUUAAUUAAAUUAUUUUUCACUCAGUAUUUAGUAUUUUUUAGUAAAGGUUUUUAUAUAAGGUAUUUAUAAUAGAAUGGAUUAAUGUUGUGCCAGCAUUCGCGGUUAUACAAUUCAUUUAUGUUAAUUUUUUAGGUUUUAAAAUUAAAUAUAUUUUUAGAUAAAAAAAUUUUAAAAUUUAGGUGGAAUUUAUUUUAAAUAAGAUAUUCUUUUACUUAAUUAUUUGUAAACUUUAGUAUUAAACUAGGAUUAGAUACCCUAUUAUUUAUGGCUUAAUAAUUUAACAGAACAUUAGUAGUUAUUUUCUAUUAAACUCAAAGAAUUUGGCGGUGAUUUAUACCUUUUCAGAGGAACCUGACCCUUAAUCGAUAAUCCACGAGAUGUUUUACCUAUUAUUUAUUUGUAUAUCUCUAUGUAAAAGAAUGUUUUAUUAAGAAUAUUUUCUUUUUUUAUAAAAAUUUAUUUUAGGUCAAGGUGCAGUUUUUAAUAAGGUUGGUUUGGGUUACUUUAGUUUUAUUUAUUUAAUUUUUAAAAUUCAUUAGUGUUUUAUUAAAUUAGGAUUUGAUAGUAAUUUUAAUUAAUUUAUUAUAAUGAAUUAAGUUUUAAUUCAUGUACAUAUCGCCCGUCGCUCCUAAUUAUAGGAUAAGUCGUAACAAAGUAAUUUUACCGGAAGGUGAGGUUGGUUGGAG
rnacentral:ncRNA from 1 species